GUCCAAGCUGUGUUCACACGGCGAGACCGCGGACGGCUCAUUAAAUCAGUCGUGGUCCAAAUGGGCCAGUGCAAAUCCUACUUGGAUAACUGUGGUAAUUCCAGAGCUAAUACAUGCAACUGAUAUCCCGAAGGCGGUGUUGGGGCUUGCUUGCCUUGCGCUGCGCUGCUCUGACGGAUGCUUUUAUUAGACCAAGCCGCUGAGGACUUGAGGGUUCGCGCUCUCUUGUUUGACUCGUGUGAUGGUGACUCUGGAUAACCAAAUUCUGACAAGCGCACGUACUUCUCUUCUGAGCGAGACGGCGCUGCCACUUUCGAGUGUCUGCCUUAUCAGCUAUCAACCGUUCGUUAUGCGCGACCGAUGGCUUUGACGGGUAACGGGGAAUCAGGGUUCGAUUCCGGAGAGGCAGCCUGAGAGACGGCUACCACGUCCAAGGACGGCAGCAGGCACGCAAAUUACCCAAUCCCAGCAAAUGGGGGAGGUAGUGACGAAAUCUAACGAUGCGGGCGCCCUUUCUGGGGCCCCGCAAUCGGAAUGGGCACUUUCUAAACAACCUG
rnacentral:rRNA from 1 species